CGCGUAGGCGGUUCCGUAAGCAGCGUGUGAAAUCCCUCGGCUCAACCGUGGAAUUGCACGCUGGACUGCGGUUCUAGAGGACGGGAGGGGGGUGCGGAACUCUAGGUGUAGCGGUGAAAUGCGUAGAUAUCUAGAGGAACACCGGUGGCGAAAGCGACACCCUGGCCCGUAACUGACGCUGAGGCGCGAAAGCGUGGGUAGCAAACA
rnacentral:rRNA from 1 species